rnacentral:rRNA from 1 species
AGUGAACGCUGGCGGUAGGCCUAACACAUGCAAGUCGAACGGCAGCACAGUAAGAGCUUGCUCUUACGGGUGGCGAGUGGCGGACGGGUGAGGAAUACAUCGGAAUCUACUUUUUCGUGGGGGAUAACGUAGGGAAACUUACGCUAAUACCGCAUACGACCUACGGGUGAAAGCAGGGGAUCUUCGGACCUUGCGCGAUUGAAUGAGCCGAUGUCGGAUUAGCUAGUUGGCGGGGUAAAGGCCUACCAAGGCGACGAUCCGUAGCUGGUCUGAGAGGAUGAUCAGCCACACUGGAACGGAGACACGGUCCAGAGUCCUACGGGAGGCAGCAGUGGGGAAUAUUGGACAAUGGGCGCAAGCCUGAUCCAGCCAUACCGCGUGGGUGAAGAAGGCCUUCGGGUUGUAAAGCCCUUUUGUUGGGAAAGAAAAGCAGCAGGUUAAUACCCCGCUGUUCUGACGGUACCCAAAGAAUAAGCACCGGCUAACUUCGUG